rnacentral:rRNA from 1 species
CCUACGGGUGGCAGCAGUGAGGAAUAUUGGUCAAUGGGCGUAAGCCUGAACCAGCCAAGUCGCGUGCAGGAUGAAGGUCCUAUGGGUCGUAAACCGCUUUUAUAAGGGAAUAAAAUGCGGGACGUGUCCCUUUUUGUGUGUGCCUUAUGAAUAAAGAUCGGCUAACUCCGUGCAAGCAGCCGCGGUGAUACGGAGGAUCCGAGCGUUAUCCGGAUUUAUUGGGUUUAAAGGGGGCGUAGGCGGCCUUUUAAGUCAGCGGUGAAAGUCUGUGGCUCAACCAUAGAAUUGCCGUUGAAACUGGGGGGCUUGAGUACGUUUGAGGCAGGCGGAAUGCGUGGUGUAGCGGUGAAAUGCUUAGAUAUCACGAAGAACCCCGAUCGCGAAGGCAGCCGGCCAGG